rnacentral:rRNA from 1 species
UACGUAGGGUCCAAGCGUUAUCCGGAAUCACUGGGCGUAAAGCGUGCGUAGGUGGCGUGUUAAGUGUGAUGUUAAAUCGUGGGGCUCAACCCUGUCGGUGCAUCACAUACUGGCAUGCUAGAGGACAGCAGAGGCAAGUGGAAUUGGUAGUGUAGCAGUGAAAUGCGUAGAUAUUACCAGGAACACCAAUGCGAAGGCAGCUUGCUGGGCUACUCCUGACACUGAGGUACGAAAGCGUGGGGAGCGAACAGG